rnacentral:lncRNA from 1 species
AUGGUUCUCCAAAGUGGAGCAAGUUUCCCCAGUGAUUUCCUUCCCUUCAUCUUUAUUUUAAUGUUCAAAUGUCUAAAGCAGACAAAAAUGAUCAAUCAAUUUAAAACAAUCAACAAUCAACAUAUACAAGGAAAGAUGCCACCUCACAGUUUAAAAAAUAAGCCUGAUUCCAUCACCACAAGGACAGCUAAGGGAAUCAAAAUCCUAUCCUUUAAGCAGAGACUAAGAGAAACUGUCCUGUUUACCCAGACAGAAUCAAAGAGAAGAUAGCAGAGUACAGGUAAGAUUAUUUUUUGAAAAUCUAAUAACUGGAUGUGCACGGAUAGGAAAGAAGAGCUAUUUAAAAUACUAGAGGAUGUGAGCAUAUAAAUACAUAAGUUUAAAUUUCCCAGAAUAGUGAAUGAAUCAAAAAAGCAGUGAGGUUCCCAGGCAGCCUUCCAAGAGUAGAAAUGAGUAAAGUAUUGGCUUUGGAGACUGAUCAGCUUUUAUCCAAAGAAGGAUCUCACAGCCUCUGACAUCAGAGCACUGCUCUGUUCCUGGAGAUCUUUUCCAACCCAGCAGUGCACAGCCAAGCCCUGGAAAUCACUUGGGACAUCUAAGCUGACAGCAUCUAAAUUUGAGUAUCUAGAAACUGGCAGCUAGGAAAGGUGGGGAAAAGCUCUCAACACUGAAAUUUAUAUCUGCCCUCUUAUCUGGUGGUAACUGAGUUCAUUGACCUGAAGACAUACCCAAUUUCUCCUUCAGAACUGGAUAAAAUGAAAUAAUCUUCCAUUUGUAGUUUGGGAAUGCCUCAGUGGUGGCAACAAAGCUUUAUUUUAAAAGAGAGCUCACUCAUGCAUCUCGAAUUUGCGAAGUGUGUGAGUAUAAAGCAAAAACAGAUGCUUUUUUUUUUUGGCAUUAAGUCAAAAAUGUUUUAGUGUAGUCUAAAACAGAAGAUCACUCCCACAGCAGUGUGUAAUAUGAUGAUCUGGCUUUUAGAGAAUGAUGAUAUGAACAAAUUGCAGGCUCAGUACAUUAUCUAGUAACCUAAUAUAGAUAAGUUUGUCCAGUCAGCUGGCAGGGAAUUUCAAUGUUGAUGUUGAUUUUGUUGUGUUUGCCUUGUGCCCAGACAUAGCACAGGACUGCCUGAUUUCAAGCAGGAAGCUAAAUAUUUUGUAGUAGGUAUUUGCUUGUUAUAGUUGCGGAAAAUUAUCAAAACUAAGAUAAGGGUACUUCACCUGCACCUGUUAGAAGGAGUCAAGUAAUCAGCAGCAGUCUGCAAACACAUAACACCAUCUAAAUGAACAGGCCGCAGCUGCAAAAUGAGGACCUUUAAUUUAUGUUCUGACCUACGGAACAUAUAUAUAACCUACACUGAUAGCCAGUGCUACAUGUGGAAACAAAGGAGAAGCCCUCUUCAGUGCCAUCCUCCCUCUCUGAAGUGCUCUGGAGUCUGGCUGCCUCAGAGACAAAACUAUCAAGGCCAAGCACAUAACAUCAGAUUUACCACAACGUAUGCCUAACGUUUGACCAGUAUGAGUGGUUAGUACUUGGUAUUUAGAUAUUUAGGUGUUAUAGCAGACAAGUAAAAUGUUCCUUGGCCUUUUUGAACUGCAGAGACUUUCUAAUUGUCUUGGAAAUUUCCUAGGACAGUCAUUCACAGUUCCCAGAUAACAAGAGUCGCAGUACCUAAUGCCUAGCCUAGAAACAUAGUACAAUACUUGUUACAAGUUACAGACUUGCCAGAACACCUGAAUGGCUAAAAGACUGACUACUUUUCAUACUUUAUUACCUAAAUAGAGUUCUAUAGGAUAUUUUUGACGAAACAGUAAUGCAGAAAAGCAUGGAGAAAAUAAAGCCAUCUACAAUUUCCUACCCA